rnacentral:rRNA from 1 species
UGAGGAACGUGACCUUCGGCGGGGGAUAGCCGGCCCAACGGCCGGGUAAUACCGCGUACGACCACAUGGGGACAUCCCUGAGUGGUGAAAGCAGCAAUGCGCCGAUGGAGUGCCUCGCGGCCUAUCAGCUAGUUGGUGAGGUAAUGGCUCACCAAGGCGACGACGGGUAGCUGGU